rnacentral:rRNA from 1 species
GAUGAACGCUGGCGGUGUGCCUAACACAUGCAAGUCGAGCGAACGGACGAGAAGCUUGCGUUUCUGAUGUUAGCGGCGGACGGGCGAGUAACACGUGGAUAACCUACUUCUAUGACUGGGAGAAUUUCGGGAAACCGGUGCUACUACCAGAGAAUACUUUGAACCGCUGGGUGCAAAAGUGAAAGACGCCUUUGCUGUUACUUAUAGAUGGAUCCGCGCUGCAUUAGCUAGUUGGUAAGGUAACGGCCUACCAAGGCAACGAUGCAUAGCUGACCUGAGAGGAUGAUCAGCCACACUGGAACUGAGACACGGUCCAGACUCCUACGGGAGGCAGCAGUGGGGAAUCUUGCACAAUGGGCGAAAGCCUGAUGGAGCCAUGCCGCGUGGGUGAUGAAGGUCUUCGGGUCGUAAAGCUCUGUUGUUGGGAAAGAAAAUAAGUAUGUUUAUCUGCGGAUAGCUUGACGGUACCUAAACAGAAAGCAACGGCUAACUUCGUG